CACGUAGGGUCCGAGCGUUGUCCGGAAUUACUGGGCGUAAAGCGCGGUACGCAGGCGGCCCGACACAUCGGCGGUGAAAGCCCCCCGCUUAAACGGGGGAGGGUCCGGUCGUGAUGGUCGGGCUGGAGGCAGGGAGAGGGCGGUGGAAUUCCGGGUGUAGUGGUGAAAUGCGCAGAUAUCAGGAGGAACACCGGUGGCGAAGGCGGGUCUCUGGGCCGUAACUGA
rnacentral:rRNA from 1 species